GGAGAGAUGUCCGAGUGGUCGAUGGUGGCAGUCUUGAAAACUGCUGAGGCGAAAGUCUCCGGGGGUUCGAAUCCCUCUCUCUCCG
rnacentral:tRNA from 1 species